GUUGCCGUGGGACUGGAGGGGACAGGACCAAGACCAUGCAGUCUCUCUGCAGACUAGCAAAGUCUGGAAUGGCCGUAGUGAGAUGUACUGGCUUCCGUUCUUGGUGUUGGCAGUAGCAGAUCUUCACCGCUUGGCUCGAGUUUCUCGAAGAGUCCAGGCCUUUCACAGCUGCACUGAAUCAGGGACCGUGGUCUGGUGGUAGAAGCUGGACUCUCGUGAGGUCAUUGUUGUGGCCCAAAAGAGUCUACUGAUGGUGCCUGACUCUGAGGUUUGGAGACAGCAAGGGACGAACUCUCCUCAAAACCGUCGCUGUAAAGAAAACAAAGGUGGUGCUCAUGAGAUUGCUGGACUUGCUACCGUGGGAUGGAGGUGGUCCAGAUGGAUACUAUUGAUGUGCCGUCCCUAGCAUCAGGCCAUCAGAUGGAUCUUCUAGGACAUGUAA